CAGAGGCUUGGUCCUGACUUUACUAUUGGCUUUGAUUAAACUUACACAUGCAAGUGUCAGCACACCUGUGAGAAUGCCCUCAAACCCUACCCGGGUCUAAGGAGCUGGCAUCAGGCACGAACUUUCAGCCCACGACGCCUUGCAUAGCCACACCCCUAAGGGUACUCAGCAGUGAUAAACAUUAAGCCAUAAGUGUAAACUUGACUUAAUUAAGAUCUUUAGGGCCGGUAAAACUCGUGCCAGCCACCGCGGUUAUACGAGAGGCCCAAGUCAAUAGUCCCCGGCGUAAAGGGUGGUUAGGAUUACCUUUAAACUAAAGCCCCACAUUUCCAAAGCUGUUAUACGCACCCGGAAAAUGGAUGACCCCCUACGAAAGUGGCUUUAAAAACACUGAACCCACGAAAGCUACAAAACAAACUGGGAUUAGAUACCCCACUAUGUGUAGCUGUAAACUUUGAUAGAAACCUACAUUCUCUAUCCGCCCGGGUACUACGAGCGUUAGCUUAAAACCCAAAGGACUUGGCGGUGCCUCAGACCCCCCUAGAGGAGCCUGUUCUAGAACCGAUACCCCCCGUUUAACCUUCCCACCUCUUGUCCAUCCCGCCUAUAUACCGCCGCCGUCAGCUUACCCUGUGAAGGGUUAACAGUAAGCAAAAAUGGCACAGCCUAAAACGUCAGGUCGAGGUGUAGCGUAUGAGAUGGUAGAAAUGGGCUACAUUCUCUAAUUUAGAGUACUACGGAAAGGAAGUUGAAAUACUUCCUCAAAGGAGGAUUUAGCAGUAAGUAGGGAAAUAGAGUGUCCCACUGAAACCGGCUCUGAGGCGCGCACAUACCGCCCGUCGCUCUCCCCUAAUGUUUAUUUGAAAAUAUAAGUAAAUCAACAUAACUAACGAAGAGGAGAUAAGUCGUAACAUGGUAAGUGUACCGGAAGGUGCACUUGGAAUAAU
rnacentral:ncRNA from 1 species